AUAUGAGAGGAAUGUUGAUCACUUAACUAAAUAAUAAGCAGGUGGAGUCUGUAUACAUAAAGAUGAUAGUGGAAUAUCCCUAAGCAAUGAUUAACAGCUACUUGUCUUGUAUAUAUCAUUUAUUUAAAUAUUGAAAUGAAGUAUUUGGGGAAAGUAGACAUUAUGAAAAAAUAGGUAUGAUUUUUCCGCUAGUGUUGGGUGGGAAAAAUGCCAUAAAGCAUUUGUUUUCCUACACAUAAUCUCCAAGAUAACAUUUCAUGUAGUACCUCUCAUUGGUGGGUGCAAGGAAAGAAGGGAAAUACGUCAUUGGUCAGAAAAGAGAAUGUGAUGAUCCAAUUAUUUUGUUUUAAUCUUAAUCGCUUUGGUGCUAUAAAAAGUCCUCAGACGCUAAAAGAACAGAGAAUCAAACUUUUUAAAAAACUUUCCAGAUGAUAGAUGAACUUAAAACCUAUGUUAUGAACCAAAUCAGGUUUUAGAAGUAGGUGAACAAAUAGAUUUCACAGAAUGCUGGAUCCUUGGAAUGACCACCAGAGAGGCAACAGGCAUGGUUUCAGUGGCCCUGAAAUAGGAGGCCCUCUCCCCUUUCCACUGGAAAGGUCGUAGAUGCUAUGCAUUUGGAUCUGGUGCAUUCCAAUAACAACAAAAACAAUUGAAAAGAAGGGUAAUGUAGAAUAAAUUCCAUAGUUCUGGUUCUUACACAUCGUGAGGAAUCAUCACACAGCAAUAAUCGCACAGUCUCACCUAUUCUGAAAUGUCAUCUUCCUUCCUUUCCUGUCUCACUCCCUUGGUCUAAGUCAGUGCAAUGUGCUGUGUCAUAUAUACUCCCAUGUAGGCAGUCAUCACCUUCCAUUGGUAUCUUGCAUUUAAAAAAAUGAAUCACUCUUUCAUUUCCUCUGGCACCAGAAAGUUUCCUCUCUUCAGUCCCCUCUUGUCCACCCUGCAGUCAUUGUCUGAAACUUCCUCUUUCUCUCUGCCUGUGUCUGUCUCUCUCAUACACACAUACCAACAAUAUUCAUUAAUACCCUCUAGCCCAGGAUCCCCUUUCUCAAUUUCAGUCUGAGCUUCACUAGAAUGAGCAUUAGGAAUAGAAGAAUUUAUACUGGGCUUCAACCCCAGUGAACUGUGUGUUUUUUAUUCUCCAAGUUCAAGUUCUGUUUCUUGCUAAAAUUAUACAUCAUUCAAGGGAGUCAUAAUUCUAAAAAUAUUUAGCAUGGUCUUUUCCAGGCAUUUCUGGAAAAAAAAUAGUAUAACAUACAGAAGAAAAUAAAAGCAGUUUGUAAGUAAUGCAUUUUUCCCCCACAGAGACAAGGAUAGUGAAAUAGUAAAGAACAGUGCUGUAUAAUCAAAAUGUAGGCUUUUGAUAAACUACAGAGAUGAGGGGAAAGUCUAAUAUAUAUUUUAGGAGUGCCUGAGUGGCUCAGUCAGUUCAGCAUCGACUCCUGAGCUCAGCUUAGGUCAUGAUCCCACUAUUUGUGAGACUGAGCUCAGUGUCAGGCUCUGCACUGAUAGCAGGGAGUAUUUUUGGAUUUCUCUCUCUCCCUUUGUCUGCCUCUCCCUCACUCUUGCAUGUGUGAGCUCUCUUUCUCUGUCUCUGUCGCUCUCUCAAAAAUAAAUAAAUAAAAUAAAUUAAAUGCGUCUAUUUUAUAGCAAGAAAUAUACCUAAAAAUUAAUUAAGUUUAAAGUUUUAACCUUGAUUCUAAUAAGUACAUAAACUGAUAAACUGCUGUUGCAAGUGACUUUCCAGUGUUUGUUCCUUAACAUGUGGAAAAUAGAUAGCCAUAGAAACCUCAAAAGGAGCUUUCUCUUGCUUUAGGGUCAAGAGUCUAAGGAAUAAACUAAAUUUUUGUAAAUUUUCUCUUAUGUGGCAGAUCAGUAGGGAGAAAAACGCUGAUAGAAAUUAAGGACACUAGAGGGGAAAGCCAAAGAUUUCUGACAACAUGCAGCCUGAGUUAAUUCAGAUCCAUCCUGAUGUUAGAAAUUCAUAGAAAUGCUAAAUAAAUUAUAACUCCCCAAAUUUAAUACAUACUUCACUUUAGAAAGAAGCAACAAAAGGAAAUCUAGGGGCACCUGGGUGGCUCAGUCAGUUAAGCAUCUGACUUUGGCUCAGGUUAUGAUCUCAUGGUUCGUGAGUUUGAGCCCCACGUUGGGCUCUGUGCUGACAGUUCGGAGACUUAAGUCUGUUUCAGAUUCUGUCUCUGUCUCUCUACCCCUCCCCUACUCUCUCUCUGUCUCUCUCUCAAAUAUAAAAAAUACAACAUAAAAAAAAUUUUUUAAUCUAAAAAUACAGAGAGAGGUUAAAAAAGAAUGGCACACUCUAGAGCUGGCACCUUGGUAGCUCAAUGAAUUUGGAACAUAAAUAUAGUUCCUAAUGUCUAGGGGCUGGGAUUUUAAACACCAGGCAGGAAGAGAUGACAUCCCAGCCAUCACCUUGAACCUACAAGAGGAGAAGUCUCUGACUGAAAGUACGUAAAAACAUGAGACUCUGGAACAAUUGUCUUCAUCAGUGAACACUCAUGCCUUCCAGUUCAGGAACAUUCCGAGAAGCCUUGUUUCUUUUUAUGCCCUCAUUGUGAAAAAUGUCUCUCAUAAGAUGCUAAAAUCACAAGCCUAUGGAUUGAAGUCCAAAUUUAUACCAUUCAUAUGGUAGAAGACUUUCCAAGCUGAGACAUUAAUGGAGGGAGUACUAGUCCUGGCUAUUGAAACCUCUAGAGCAUCUAGGAAGAUGCAGAAAAUUAGUCUUUAGAUACAAUAUAAAUAAUCAAGUAGGAGUGAGGAUAGGUAGGUAAAGUCCUUAACAUGACCCUGAGAUUAUUGAAAAAUCUAGAAGUGAAUAUAAAAUGAAAGUGUUUAAAUUAUUAAAAUGUUAAAAGAAUGAAUUGAAAAGAUUGAUGGAAGAGGAACUAAAGACUAUGGAAAUUUGUAAAAGAGACAGAUAAAAUUUCUAAAACUGAAAAAUAUAGUAAUUAAAAUUAAAAAUUGAAUGGGAGGACCAAACAACAUAUUAGUAGCAGAUGAAAAGAGAAUUAGUUAAUUGAAAGAGUUGAAAACAUUUCCCAGAAUGCGACCAACAUGGUAAAAUAUAAAAGGCACUUCAGAGACAGAGAAUGCAGAUUGUGAAAAUGUAAGUCUGUGAGGAGUUCCAGAAGUUGAAAAGAGUGAGAAUGAGGAGGAGUAGUGGUCAAGAGAUACUGAAAAUUCUCCAGUAUUGGUGAAAGAUAGGAGUUCACAAAUUAAGGAAAAUAAUCAUGAUAAAAUAAGUCCACACAUGGAAAGAUCCGUGUUAAACUUAUAGAGACCAAAUAGAAAAAGAAAACAAAAUCUUAAAAUAAUCUAGAGAGCAAAUGCAGAUUAUCUCCAAAGGAAUAAGAUUUGUCAGUUAGCAUAUAUCCCAUUGAAGUCACGAUAGCAAUCAAAAAAGAAAGGACUAAUAUCCUCAUGGUGCUGAUAUAAUAUGCUGGUCAACUCAAAAUCCUAUACCUUGCUAAACCUCAUUUAGAGGGGAGGACAACAUAAUGGCAUCUUCAGAGAAAAACUGAGGGUUUACCAAUCAUAGACCUUCACCGAGCUGCUAUAAAACACACUUCAAAAGGAAUGCCAAUAAAAUCAAGGAAAUUGGGGAUUAAAGAGAAAAGUGAACAGAAAAAGUAAAUGUACACAAUCUAAGCAUUAUGAAAAUCAUAAUGAUGAUAAUUACUAAAUGUAUGGAAUUGUUUUAAAAAGCAUAACGAAAACAUGAGAAUAAUAACAUGAUAAUGGGGCAGAUGGUCAGGGUUAGAAGUUUUUUAAAGCCUUAAAAUUUUGGGAGGACAGUAAAAAAUUGGUUAGAUUUAAUCUUUUUUAAAGUAUAUGUAUUAAACAUUGAGGAUAAUUAUAGAAAAAUAAAAAUAGUAGUAGUAAUCAGAGUUCUCCAGAGAAACAGAAGCAGUAGGAUGUAGAUAGCUGGAUGGAUGGAUGGAUGGAUGGACAGAUGGACGGAAAGAAAGAAAGAAAGAAAGAAAGAAAGAAAGAAAGAAAGAAAGAAAGAAAGAAAUUUGUCUUAAGGAGAGGGACUGUCAAGUCUGAAUUCUUCAAGACAAGCCAGCAGGAUGGGGACUCAGAGAAGAGUUGAUGUAGUCUCAAGUCCAGAGAUAGUCUGGAGGCAGAAUUAUUUAUUUUUGAGGGAUGCCAGUCUUUUCUUUUAAGACAAUUAACUGAU